UUCUCAGCCUGAUUGCCUUUUGCUUACUAAGAACAGCAACUGAUUUCUAUUGGACAACUGUGUAAUUGUGUGGUGGUGUAGGGAACAACCAUUAUACUCCAAUUCCUUCAUCUGGUAAACGGGAACAUGAGUGUAUGGGAAUUGCUAAGUCACAGCCUGAACCAAUGAGUGAGCACUUUGUGAAGAGACACAGCCUGCCCUGGGAACACAGGUGAAAGCAAUUCACCUGUGCCACAGAAAGGGUGGAACCAGGUUCCACCCCUAAGCCUCAUUUAAGGACUGGUUGCCACCUGGGAACACUCUCUGUCUGGCGAUCCUUUCUUCUGGGUUAUUUGGUGGGUCCUGUUCCUCAGGAUAGGUGAGCAAAUCUUUCUUUGACUGGAUUGUGACUAUCACUCUUUUUUGAGUAAUUUAGAACUGGUUGUCUGCCAUUGCCUUUCCAUACAAUUACUUCUAUUUCUCAGAGGCUCAAUUUAGAGUUUAAUAAUCGGCUAACAAAUUCACAAAGCCACUUUAAUUUCAUCUUCAGCUCUUGUGUUACUCUCCUUCCUGAACUCAAUAGCGGCAUCACAAGAUAAAAUGGGAUGUGCCCUACCAGCCCCUAUGAUAUCAGGAUGAGGAACUGGACCACUGCUGACACUCAAGUUCUCCUGGUGUUUUCUACUUCUUACUGCAACUGGCAAAGAUGCUAACAAGAUCAUUAUUUUUAUUCUAUGCUAAGAUUGUUAUAAGAAACUUCAGAAGAAUUCAAGGCUAAUGGAAAAAGUUGUUAGAGCUUCUAUAUGAGCGUCCUCGCUUCUAUGUUCAUUUUGUUUUUCUUUAACUGAAAACAAAUUCUGCUUGAAAACAGGAACUUCAACAAUUAAACUUGUUUAGAAGUUUCCGCUAUUGGUCUGGAAGUAGAGAGAACUUUCUGCUGUUUUCACUGGGUAUUUUUUUGAGGCAUACAAGAACUAGACAAGUAACAGAUUGGACUUUGUGUGGUGGUGAUAUUUAUAAAUGGGUUUCUUAUUGUGACUUUGAGAGACUAAGAAUAUAAUUCUGCUUAGCAGCUUUUAUUUGUUGUUGUCUAAAUUAUUGUCAAGAUAUCCAUUAUUUUAAGCUUUAUUUUUAGUUCCUG
rnacentral:lncRNA from 1 species